UGUAUGUAACUUCAUUUAUUUUACUUUUUAUUUUAUUUUUUUUAUUAUUUUACUCAAGUCAUAUGUUUUCUUAUUUGUUUUAGUGUCUGCAAUUAUCUGUCAAAAAUUAGAGAAGUGUAAUAAAUCCUGCCACAUCUAUUGUGCUUCGAUGUGUAUCUCUUCUUUCCUCACUUGGGGCUGUAUCUAUUUUGAUGUCCUGUUUUCCAGCACAGGGAUUCUGAAGGAUAUUGUGUUGCCAGUUUGCACAGGGAAUGGCUGCCCUCUGCCUCAUAAUGCAGGCACUCUGAGGCUGCAUUGAUGAACUCACUCUUCUCUCUCCUUCACAGAAACAGAAGAGGCAACUAUGAAAAGCAGGUAUUUGUUCCGUACUUUUCACUAAAUGAAAGAACUUAGAAAUGUUUACUCUUCCUUUAACUUCAAUUCAACAUGGCACAACACAGGAAGUGUGUUUUUUUCUAAUAUUUCCAGUUCUCUUAGGAAGUCUGCUUCCCACUUUGGUGAAUGCAUAUUGAAUCCCUGUUGUGCAUAAGGCUGGGUAUGCA
rnacentral:lncRNA from 1 species